CUGCGGAGGGAUCAUUACAGAGUUCUAAAAGACUCCCAAAACCAUUGUGAACGUACCCGUCAGCGUUGCCUCGGCGGGCGGCCCCUCCCUGGGGCCGCUGCCUCCCUCGGGGGGUGCCCGCCGGCGUACCAAAACUCUUUUGUAUUUUAGUGGCCUCUCUGAGAAAACAAGCAAAUAAGUUAAAACUUUCAACAACGGAUCUCUUGGUUCUGGCAUCGAUGAAGAACGCAGCGAAAUGCGAUAAGUAAUGUGAAUUGCAGAAUUCAGUGAAUCAUCGAAUCUUUGAACGCACAUUGCGCCCGCCAGUACUCUGGCGGGCAUGCCUGUUCGAGCGUCAUUUCAACCCUCAAGCCCUGCUUGGUGUUGGGGUCCUACGGCUGCCGUAGGCCCUGAAAGCUAGUGGCGGGCUCGCUAUAACUCCGAGCGUAGUAGUAAAAUAUCUCGCUAGGGAGGCGUCGCGGGUUCCGGCCGUGAAAGCCCAUCUUUUACACAAGGUUGACCUCGGAUCAGGUAGGAAUACCCGCUGAACUUAAGCAUAUCAAA
rnacentral:rRNA from 1 species